UUUCGGUGACCUCAAGGUUAUGAGCCUUGCGAGCUAUCAGAUUGUUGUACCACAAGCCAAAGAUAAGAACUGAAAACUAAUAGAUAAAAAGAAUUAAAUGUUCCCCUCCACCCUAUCAGUACAAAUAGAAUAAAAGUGAAACAUCAAAAAGAUAGAGGGGAACAAAUGAGAGUUCAACCAUUCAUAUAUAUCUUCUUAUAUGGCCUAUGAAUAGUUCAAGCCAAGCUUCCAGUAAUAUCAUCAUAAUCAUAAAGUUGCAACAAAUUGGGAAAUUACUUGGCAACCUUAUCAAUUGAAAUCUACAUGAAAUGACCAUAGACCAAACUAUAAGCAUGUGCAAAUUGUGAUAAAACUCUAUUGUAUAUUUAGAAAAUUAGAAGAUCUUUGUUCUUUUAUUCGAUGAGUCAAUCUAUCCAUUCUCAUUAGGGGAAUUCCUUUAUCUUAUCAAGAGUCCUAGGGAAAUAAAAAAUAACUUCGAGGUAUUUUUUUCGAUUCUUUAAACCUCUUCAAAUUUUAUCAUCCUACAUCUCAGGACUCAGAUAGCUUUGAAGUUAUUUUCUAUUCAAGCAAUCCAAUUUUCACAAAGGACGAUAAAUUUUAAGUUGUCAUAAUAUUAAACAAAGAAUAGCUAAGGAUAUGACUACAUUAAAGGUCAUUAUGGAUAUUGUGGGAAGAACACACAUGAAAAGCAAGCUUUGUAAACAUAAAUUUGGCUAACCAAGUUGUGUCGGUGAUCCUAGUUUCAGCAUCUUGCCUGAAUAUUUUGUCACUGCUACUUCCCUUUCUUGCAAAUCGUAGUUGAAGAGGUCAUAUUCCUUUUGUUUCUUUUAGUGGCACUUGUAAUCCAUUGAAUUAGGAUGUUACAGAAUUUGAUAAUAUAUUUACUAAGAUCAAUGGAUCAUUCUUCUAACAAUUUGAACAUAACUUUCAUCAAACAUGUUAUGUACAAAGGAAUAUGACUACAAAAUGAGGAUAGAAAAGUAACUGCAGUUUCCGUGAGCUCAAGGUUAUGAGCCUUGCGAGCUAUCAGAUUGAUGUACCACAAGCCAAAGAUAAGAACUGAAAACUAAUAUAUAAAAAGAAUUAAAUGUUCCCCUCCACCUUAUCAGUACAAAUAGAAUAAAAGUGAAACAUCAAAAAGAUAAAGGGGAACAAAUAAGAGUUCAACCAUUCAUAUAUAUCUUCUUAUAUGGCCUAUGAAUAGUUCAAGCCAAGCUUCCAGUAAUAUCAUCAUAAUCAUAAAGUUGCAACAAAUUGGAAAAUUACUUGGCAACCUUGAAAUGACUAUAGACCAAACUAUAAGCAUGUGCAAAUUGUGAUAAAACUCUAUUGUAUAUUUAGAAAAUUAGAAGAUCUUUGUUCUUUUAUUCGAUGAGUCAAUCUAUCCAUUCUCAUUAGGGGAAUUCCUUUAUCUUAUCAAGAGUCCUAAGGAAAUAAAAAAUAACUUUCGAGGUAUUUUUUUCGUUUCUUUAAACCUCUUCAAAUUUUAUCAUCCUACACCUCAGGACACAGAUAGCUUUGAAGUUAUUUUCUAUUCAAGCAAUAAAAUUUCCACAAAGGACGAUAAAUUUUAAGUUGUCAUAAUACGAAACAAAGAAUAGCUAAGGAUAUGACUACAUUAUAGGUUAUUAUGGAUAUUGUGGGAAGAACAC
rnacentral:lncRNA from 1 species